rnacentral:rRNA from 1 species
GAUGAACGCUGGCGGCGUGCCUAAUACAUGCAAGUCGAGCGAACGGACGAGAAGCUUGCUUCUCUGAUGUUAGCGGCGGACGGGUGAGUAACACGUGGAUAGCCUACCUAUAAGACUGGGCUAACUUCGGGAAACCGUAGCUAAUACCGGAUAAUAUUUUGAACCGCAUGGUUCAAAAGUGAUAGACGGUCUUGCUGUCACUUAUAGAUGGAUCCGCGCUGCAUUAGCUAGUUGGUAAGGUAACGGCUUACCAAGGCAACGAUGCAUAACCGACCUGAGAGGGAGAUCAGCCACACUGGAAGUGAACCACGGUCCAAACGACUACAGGAGGCAGAAGUAGGGAAACGUCCGCAAUGGGCGAAAGCCUGACGGAACAACGCCGCAUGAGUGAUGAAGGUCUUCGGAUCGUAAAACUCUGUUAUUAGGGAAGAACAUAUGUGUAAGUAACUGUGCACAUCUUGACGGUACCUAAUCAGAAAGCCACGGCUAACUACGCG